UACGUAGGGGGCAAGCGUUAAUCGGAAUUACUGGGCGUAAAGCGUGCGCAGGCGGUUGUGCAAGACCGAUGUGAAAUCCCCGGGCUUAACCUGGGAAUGGCAUUGGUGACUGCACGGCUAGAGUGUGUCAGAGGGGGGUAGGAUUCCACGUGUAGCAGUGAAAUGCGUAGAGAUGUGGAGGAAUACCGAUGGCGAAGGCAGCCCCCUGGGAUAACACUGACGCUCAUGCACGAAAGCGUGGGGAGCAAACAGG
rnacentral:rRNA from 1 species